UACGUAGGGUGCAAGCGUUGUCCGGAAUUAUUGGGCGUAAAGAGCUUGUAGGCGGUUUGUCGCGUCUGCUGUGAAAUUUCGGGGCUCAACCCCGAACUUGCAGUGGGUACGGGCAGACUAGAGUGUGGUAGGGGAGACUGGAAUUCCUGGUGUAGCGGUGAAAUGCGCAGAUAUCAGGAGGAACACCGGUGGCGAAGGCGGGUCUCUGGGCAUUUCCUGACGCUGAGGCGCGAAAGCGUGGGGAGCAAACGGG
rnacentral:rRNA from 1 species